GGAGUAACGACGUGAGUAACCUGCCUUACACAAGGGGAUAGCCUUUGGAAACGAAGAAUAAUACCCUAUAAAACCAUAAAAGCACAUGCUAGAAUGGUAAAAGUGAUAGCGGUGUAAGAUGGACUUGCGUCUGAUUAGCUAGUUGGUGAGAUAAAAGCUCACCAAGGCAACGAUCAGUAGCCGGCUUGAGAGAGUGUACGGCCACAUUGGGACUGAGACACGGCCCAG
rnacentral:rRNA from 1 species